rnacentral:pre_miRNA from 1 species
UCACCUCUACAGGCUGGUCACCCAGGCUGGGCUGGGCAAGCAUCUCUUCAAAAGGCUCACCCUCAAGCACAUCUAUGAGA